rnacentral:rRNA from 1 species
CGGUUCACCGAGAAAUGGGAGUGGCGAACGGGUGAGUAACACGUGGGUAACCUACCCAUCAGCGGGGGAUAACACUUGGAAACAGGUGCUAAUACCGCAUAAUUCUUUUCUUCGCCUGGAGGAAAGAUGAAAGACGCUUUUGCGUCACUGAUGGAUGGACCCGCGCUGCAUUAGCUAGUUGGUGGGGUAACGGCUCACCAAGGCCACGAUGCAUAGCCGACCUGAGAGGGUGAUCGGCCACACUGGGACUGAGACACGGCCCAGACUCCUACGGGAGGCAGCAGUAGGGAAUCUUCGGCAAUGGACGGAAGUCUGACCGAGCAACGCCGCGUGAGUGAAGGAGGUUUUCGGAUCGUAAAACUCUGUUGUUAGAGAAGAACAAGGAUGAGAGUAGAAUGUUCAUCCCUUGACGGUAUCUAACCAGAAAGCCACGGCUAACUACGUGCCAGCAGCCGCGGUAAUACGUAGGUGGCAAGCGUUGUCCGGAUUUAUUGGGCGUAAAGCGAGCGCAGGCGGUUUCUUAAGUCUGAUGUGAAAGCCCCCGGCUUAACCGGGGAGGGUCAUUGGAAACUGGGAGACUUGAGUGCAGAAGAGGAGAGUGGAAUUCCAUGUGUAGCGGUGAAAUGCGUAGAUAUAUGGAGGAACACCAGUGGCGAAGGCGACUCUCUGGUCUGUAACUGACGCUGAGGCUCGA